GAUCAUGCUCAGGCAGAGACAGGCUUGCCAGGUCAAUUUCACAUUUCUAGUAAAUCCAGUGAAAACUCCCUUCAAAGCCUGAAAACUAUCACAAUCUCAGCAGAGAAGGAAGGCACUGCAGAGGAUAAGAAGACGCAUGGAAACUCUAAAAGAAACAUAAUUCAACUUGUAGGCCAGAUUUGAAAAGGAAAUAAUAAAACCAGAAGCUCAGAUGUCAGACACCGAGGCUGCCAGUACCUCUGGAUCGAUUGUCUAUGUGUUGGAUGAUGCACAACCAUUGGUCAGAACAGACAGCGUAUACUUGACCAAAGCUAUGCUUGGAUACAAGAUGACUCAAUGAUGACUCAAUAACUAGUAUUGACAACAGUGAAGAUGUUAUGUCCCAGGGCCAUCAGGAUCAUCAGAGGAAGGCAAUUUCUAUGAAGAAAAUCUGACCGGUGCCAAAGGAACAAAAAGGUAUUGGUCGACAAUAGAGGUGGAUGCAGUUGAAGAUUCCUUGAUGAACUUUAUCCAAAUGGGGAAAAAUGCCUGGAAAACAAGACUGUGAGAAAUGCAUUGCUGCUUCUCCCCAAUCGCUAGUAAACAGGGACUGGAGAGCAGUAUAUAGACACAACAGAAUAGUUUCAGAUCAGAGAAAAUAAGUGUAUGAGAUGCUUCUGGCUCUCUUGGUGUACUUCUGAGGAUUUAAUGGGACUUACUUGACUUAAGCUCAUAGGCAGAUGACGAAUGUCCUCUAUCUCACUGUUCAGGGGAAGUUUUUCCUGGUGGAUGGUUCACUUUUGGAGUGACUAAGGUCUCAAGAAUACAAAGCCUGCUGACUUUGAAUGUUACAGAAAAAUAAAGAAAAGUCUGAACUAUUAAUCUGUUA